rnacentral:rRNA from 1 species
UACGGAGGGUGCAAGCGUUAUCCGGAUUUACUGGGUUUAAAGGGGGCGUAGGGGGAUUUGUAAGUCAGAGGUGAAAUCUCCGAGCUUAACGCGGAAACUGCCUUUGAUACUAUAAGUCUUGAAUUAUCUGGAGGUAAGCGGAAUAUGUCAUGUAGCGGUGAAAUGCUUAGAUAUGACAUAGAACACCGAUUGCGAAGGCAGCUUACUACGGAUCGAUUGACACUGAGGCACGAAAGCGUGGGGAUCCAACAGG